rnacentral:rRNA from 1 species
AGGGCACCACCAGGAGUGGAGCCUGCGGCUUAAUUUGACUCAACACGGGAAAACUCACCCGGCCCGGACACUGGAAGGAUUGACAGAUUGAGAGCUCUUUCUUGAUUCAGUGGGUGGUGGUGCAUGGCCGUUCUUAGUUGGUGGAGUGAUUUGUCUGGUUAAUUCCGAUAACGAACGAGACUCUAGCCUAUUAAAUAGAUCGUUGGCUUACAAACGCCGGCGAGACUUCUUAGAGGGACAGGCGGCGAUUCAGCCGCACGAAACAGUGCAAUAACAGGUCUGUGAUGCCCUUAGAUGUCCGGGGCCGCACGCGCGCUACACUGAAGUGAUCAGCGUGCAUUUUGAAACCUACUCUGUCAAGAGUGGGGAACCCAAUGAACCUUCUCCGUGAUUGGGAUAGGGGAUUGUAAUUAUUCCCCUUGAACGAGGAAUUCCCAGUAAGCGCGAAUCAUAAGUUUGCGCUGAUUACGUCCCUGCCCUUUGUACACACCGCCCGUCGCUACUACCGAUUGAACGUUU